GGAUUAGCAGCACAUAUACUAAAAUUGGAACGAUACAGAGGAGAUUAGCAUGGCCCCUGGGCAAGGAUGACACGCAAAUUUGUGAGAAGCGUUCCACAUUUUU
ensembl:snRNA U6 U6 spliceosomal RNA